ACUAAGGACCGGCCCGGCGCUAGUCUCCACUCUCCGUGUCUCCCUUCCUUCCCGCCCUCCUCGCCUCCCGCGCUACUGCGCUAGGGACUAGGGUUCCAUGGACCCCUCGCCGCCUCGUCCGACGGGGGCACCUUCCUCGAUUUCGUCGACCACGCCAUCUCCGUCCUCUUCUCCUCCGGCGCCGACGGCAACGGCUACGAGUCACCGGGGGACGGGCCGGCGCCGGCGCCGGCGCGGCCGCCCUGGAGGUGGGCGGUGGCGCAGGUGCUCAAGUCGUGCUGCGCUUACUCCAGCGGCGUCACGGCCGCCAUCCUCCUCUCCGACCCAUUCCAGGCUAGUUUUGUGCUUUCCUGCAAUUGAAAGAUGCAAUAGGGAUUAAAGUUUGGCUUCUCUUGGUAGUCUUGGAGAGAACAGCGUAAAUCCCUGACCUCGAAGAGGAACGUCGAGCUGAUCAACCUUAUAAAGACGAGGAAUAAGAGGAGGAGGCUUCCUAAUACUGUUACACUCGAUUCUACCUGUGAGAAGAACUUCCUUUCUCCCAAGAGUCUCCUUGAAGCUGUCAUCAUCGACGUGUUCGUCCUUCCUGGUACAAACAUAUACAUGCUUACCUUGGGAGACACGUGGAGUGCAUCCACUAUCGACUUAUAUUUACACCGAAGGUGGAUCUGACUACAUAUUGCUUAGUUAAUGUUCAUAUUUGUUUGACUGAUAUUAGAAGUCAGUAAAGAACGUGUCGGCAAAUUUGGAUUGAUAAAUAUGUAGGCAAGGAAGAUGGCAAUGCUAACUAUGCUAUUAUGAAUCUCUGUUGAACUUUGAGCACUUUGCGAAUUGUCCAUUGCUCUCGAAUGAGUAUAGAUGUAACUUUUCUAGUUGUAGGAUACUACAGAUCUUUGUGAUUUACGAAAGUUUGAUCGUUGAUUCUUCAUUCCAAAUAAUGGUUGGUUGUUAUUUUCCCCCUAAAUGCUGAACCAGUAAUGUCCGUAAUGUAUAUUUUGGAAUAUGAUUCUUGGAUAGGUUAUUGUGUUUAUUUCCUUUUUUAUGACACUCUUGAUACUUGGAAUACUUAUACAUGUUCCUGUACUGACAUAAAUUUUGUAUCAGGUACGACUACAUAGGACAACAUGGUAUAUUGAAGAAAGGUCGAGAAGUUAUCCUCACAGGAUGUUGUCUUCGUACAUCCAUAGAGGGAUCUGGCCAUGCUCGUAUUUUGCCAACAGAAUACAUGGUGAUAUUACUCGAUGAGGUAUCCCUUCAAUGCAUUUAAGUGUAUAAGGCAGCACUGCUCCGAUUGCAUUAUUUACUUGCAAUUUGUUACUUCUUAGGUAAAGUUCAUUUGUCUUAAUUGCAUUUUCAACCCCGGCAAGGCCACAAUGACUCUAUACCAUGAUAAUUGGCUGAACCUAAAGAAAUUAUAUAAAUGUCAAACCACUUCCUUUAUGCCUAGUCAUAAGAACAACUGUAAAUUGUAAAAUUCUUGGUUCUUAAAAGAAUUCAAGCUUGCAAUAUUGUACUUGAGCCUAGACAAAUAACUUCAGCUUUAGCUGUUAGAAAUUAAAUUUGGCAUCUCUUUUGUUCAGUAAACUUGUAAACUUUGUUUUAGCUCACGCACAUUAAUAUUUAUGUGCAUCAAUGGUGUCACUUAGAAUUGGGACAGUACUCUUCCAAGUCUGCUUAUGUUGCUUAUUUCCAAGGUGCUACUCAUUUUGAACCUUGGAAACACAUAUGGAAAUCAUGGGCUCCGGCACGCUGCAAAUUUUUCUUGUGGCUUGUGGCGCAUGAUAGAUGUUGGACAUCAGACCGUUUGGCGCGGAGGGGACUUCCACACCCGGCGAGCUGUCCACUUUGUGAUCAAGAGGUUGAAACAAUUCAACAUCUCCUAACGGAUUGUGUUUUUGGUAGACAGGUGUGGUUCUCCUUGUUUAGGCGGUUUGGAGUGCUUGAUGUUUCCCCGCAGGCAAGUGACAGCAGAUUCUGUAAUUGCUGGAAGCAAGCAAGCGAUAGGAUUUGGAAGCCAAUGCGAAAACAAUUCCCUGGUAAUUUUGGGCACUUGGCUGAUUUGGAAGCAUCGCAACGAUUGCGAGUUUAAUGGUGCGGCUCCAAGUGUGCAUGCCGUCCUCCAGAAGGCUGGUGAGGAGGCCAUAAUGUGGGCUGAUGUUGGAGCUAAGGGCUUAGCGCUGAUGCAAAUCGCUUUGUAGUUUAUGAUAGUUCCUUAAGGGUCGUUUUACUUUUCUUGUCAAAGGUGCACUGCUUUAUGUCAUUCCGAGUGUGUUUUUGUGGGGGUGUGUGGUUUGUUAGACUGUUUUUGGUUUUUUUUCCUCUCUCUUAAUGCAAUGAUGUGCAGUCC